rnacentral:rRNA from 1 species
GACGAACGCUGGCGGCGUGCUUAACACAUGCAAGUCGAACGGGAUUCGAGUAAUCGAUGAGAGUGGCGGACGGGCGAGUAACGCGUGAGUAACCUGCCUCAUACUGGGGGAUAACAUCGGGAAACCGGUGCUAAUACCGCAUAAGACCACAGUGUCGCAUGGCACAGUGCUCAAAACUCCGGUGGUAUGGGAUGGACUCGCGUCCAAUUAGCUAGUUGGUGAGGUAAUGGCUCACCAAGGCGACGAUUGGUAGCCGAGCUGAGAGGCUGAUCGGCCGCAUUGGGACUGAGACACGGCCCAGACUCCUACGGGUGGCAG